rnacentral:rRNA from 1 species
UGUAAGCGUAUACCAAAGUUGUUGCAGUUAAAACGCUCGUAGUCGGACUUUGGCAGUUCCGGAUGUGUGCACGUCGUGUGCGCACUUCGCGGGGAUUGCUUUUGUGGUCUUGCGUAGGAUGAGGCACUUUUAUUAGUGAACGUCCUCACGCAACCACUUUUUACUGUGAGAAAAUCAGAGUGCUCAAAGCAGGCAUUUGCCGUGAAUGUAUUAGCAUGGAAUAGUAGAAUAGGACUUGGUUCUAUUUUGUUGGUUUGUUGGGACUGAGUAAUGAUUAAGAGGGACAGUUGGGGGCAUUUGUAUUUCGGUGCUAGAGGUGAAAUUCUUAGAUUACCGAAAGACAAACUGCUGCGAAAGCGUCUGCCAAGGAUGUUUUCAUUGA